rnacentral:rRNA from 1 species
AGAGUUUGAUCCUGGCUCAGAUUGAACGCUGGCGGCAUCCCUUACACAUGCAAGUCGAACGGCAGCAUGAUCUAGCUUGCUAGAUUGAUGGCGAGUGGCGAACGGGUGAGUAAUACAUCGGAACGUGCCCUGUAGUGGGGGAUAACUAGUCGAAAGAUUAGCUAAUACCGCAUACGACCUGAGGGUGAAAGUGGGGGACCGCAAGGCCUCAUGCUAUAGGAGCGGCCGAUGUCUGAUUAGCUAGUUGGUGGGGUAAAGGCCCACCAAGGCGACGAUCAGUAGCUGGUCUGAGAGGACGAUCAGCCACACUGGGACUGAGACACGGCCCAGACUCCUACGGGAGGCAGCAGUGGGGAAUUUUGGACAAUGGGGGCAACCCUGAUCCAGCAAUGCCGCGUGUGUGAAGAAGGCCUUCGGGUUGUAAAGCACUUUUGUCCGGAAAGAAAUCGCACUUACUAAUAUUAGGUGUGGAUGACGGUACCGGAAGAAUAAGGACCGGCUAACUACGUGCCAGCAGCCGCGGUAAUACGUAGGGUCCAAGCGUUAAUCGGAAUUACUGGGCGUAAAGCGUGCGCAGGCGGUUGUGCAAGACCGAUGUGAAAUCCCCGGGCUUAACCUGGGAAUUGCAUUGGUGACUGCACGGCUAGAGUGUGUCAGAGGGGGGUAGAAUUCCACGUGUAGCAGUGAAAUGCGUAGAGAUGUGGAGGAAUACCGAUGGCGAAGGCAGCCCCCUGGGAUAACACUGACGCUCAUGCACGAAAGCGUGGGGAGCAAACAGGAUUAGAUACCCUGGUAGUC